rnacentral:rRNA from 1 species
AGACAGAGGGGGCAAGCGUUGUCCGGAGUUACUGGGCGUAAAGGGCGCGGAGGCGGUGGCCUGCGUCGGCGCUGAAAGCGCUCCGCUUAACGGGGCGAGGCGCGCCGAUACGAGGUCACUCGAGGCAAGCAGAGGGCAGUGGAAUUCCGGGUGGAGCGGUGAAAUGCGUAGAGAUCCGGAGGAACGCCAGUGGAGCAGUCGGCUGCCUGGGCUUGACCUGACGCUGCGGCGCGACAGCGUGGGGAGCAAACCGGAUUAGAUACCCGGGUAGUCCACGCCGUAAACGAUGCCGGCUCGGCGUUUGGCGCGCGUGAGCGCGCUGGGCGCCUAAGCUCACGCGGUAAGCCGGCCGCCUGGGGACUACGAGCGCAAGCUUAAA